GCCACUUUUGUCCCAAAAGCUGGACCUUUUGAACCAGAAAACGCCUUCGUCAUGUCUUCCUCGUCAAGACCAAGAUUCUCACACAUGAGCUUGGAGAGCCUCUCUGCAAACUUGUGCAGUUGAGAAACAUAUUCAUCCAUCGUCUUGCUGCAAUAUCAGUUCCCCCCUCUCAGCAAAUAUGUAAAAUGAUGUUUGAAGCUGGCUUAUGAGAGAUGAAGAAACUGCUUUCCCAAUCUGCAUCUGAAGUUCUGCCUUCACUCAAAGCUUUCACCAUCUCUGACUGAUUGGUUGAAUGCAAUCUGAAAAGAGUAUUUAUAGGCAAUGGAGUGAAGAGUUGAAACUCUGUUUCUGUAUGGCAUAGGUGCCUACUUGGAGGCAAAAACAAUAGUUUCUUCCAAUACUAUUCUUUUCACUCGAUUUAGUACCAAUUUAAAUAAUUAGAAAAAUGUAUAAGAAUCUGCUUUGGAAAUGUAAAAUGAACAAGAGGGAUUGCAGAGAAGUCCAAGUUCAGUCCAUACAACCAUGUGACCAAAAGUUUUUUUUUUACAAAUUUUCAUAAUUUCUUAAGUGUUUUGGUCAGUUCAUUAUGUUUUCUUGCAACCUAAUUAAUGUGAAUUUUCUUUCUC